UACGGAAGGUUCGGGCGUUAUCCGGAUUUAUUGGGUUUAAAGGGAGCGUAGGCCGGAGAUUAAGUGUGUUGUGAAAUGUAGACGCUCAACGUCUGACUUGCAGCGCAUACUGGUUUCCUUGAGUACGCACAACGUUGGCGGAAUUCGUCGUGUAGCGGUGAAAUGCUUAGAUAUGACGAAGAACUCCGAUUGCGAAGGCAGCUGACGGGAGCGCAACUGACGCUGAAGCUCGAAGGUGCGGGUAUCGAACAGG
rnacentral:rRNA from 1 species